AAGAAGAGGUGGAAUUACCACCCAGACCAAGACAGAGAACUUUUCCAGCACUGCUCUGUCUCUUCAGUGAGAAGACCUCUCCCACCUCGGAUUCAGGUUGCCUGUUGAUCAUGUAAAUGGAAUGAUGUGGACAACGGGCAGCCAAGGGAGCGGGACAAACGCAUCAGGAUCGCUGUGUUGCCAGAUGGAUCCCCGGGCAGGCAUAGAGCCUGGUCCUGUUCCUCCUGGACUCAUUUCCUCUACCGUGGCCAUGGCUGGGGCCUUCAAAACAAAAAAAUGCCUCCUGUGGACUGUGGAUCUAUGAUGGAGGAUCCUGGCAUAUUGACUUUUUUUCCAAUGCCAACCAGCACAUACAUUUUUGCCACAGCGAAAAGGCGCCACAAAAGGGACAGAUGAGCGAAUAUGGUAAUGCGGUAUGUUUCCCUUGUUUUAAAAAAAGACACCAACCAGCAUAUCACUCAUUGGAAAAUGGAAAAAAUAAGAAAACAACAACAAAAUAUGUACAAUGCAUGCGUUGAAAUUGCAUGUAAUUGCAUAAAUGGUGUAACAGUAAUAAAGUUAAGCGAUUAAAAAAUGAAGAAAAAAAGACAUACGCCUUUUUCCCAUACACAGUAUUUUUAGAAAUAGCAUUUUUGGGUAAAUGUCCUUUGUUGAUUAGCAAUAUUCUGUCUCAGCUCAGCCUUGCCUGAAUACUAGACCCACAAAAUCAGCAACUAUUUAUGGUAGCGGUUUGGGAACUCCUAGCUCCUAGAAGCUUCCUCUUAAGCAGACCCUGGCCAGUGUGGUUGGAAGUUAGUUCCAGUGGAUGGACUGCAGAGAGAUGAAUGGCGACCGGUCAUGGUGGAGAAAACGGAUGCCUAAGAUGUUCGUGAAAGGGUGUGAUGGAAGACUUGUUGCAAUAUAGGAAAGGCAUUCUAGCUUACCCAUGAUUUAUUUGAGACAUGAUGCCAACUAGAACAGCCUAUUUUGUGGCCUGUCAAACAGGCAGUAUAUAUCGACUUUAACCAUCAGAGAAAAGAAUGCAUUUAAAACUCAGAACGGAGUAACGGUGGUUCAGGCAUCCAAAAUGAAGCCAAAUGCCAUCUCAAAUGUGGUUUCAGACAUGUUCUUGCAUCACAGAGAACUUCAAUAUUCUGAGCUCUAUCAGACUCCAGGACAGCACCAGCAAUUCUCAAAACAGUAGCUACUAGCCCUGCCGGCUGCAACCUUGUGGUCCCAAGGUCUCCUCUUGAAAGUAGGCAACCCGUUCGGACCUCCAAUCAAUCCUUGCUUAAGCGCCCACACGUCUUGCCAAAUUCAAUUCAAAUUCUUCACAACUUACAUUCUUUUGUGAUUUUUUUGUAUGUGUAUGGCCAUGCCUAGCAGAAACCCCUAGGCAGGAAAAGACCAGAAGAAAUUCUUGGUACAUUUCCUAAGUCAAAUAAGCCUAAGAGGAAUCCCUAGGCAGAAAAAGACUUGAAGGAGCUUUGGAGUGAACUGAUUUGGCUGACUUUUUUUUUUUUUUUUUUAGUGUGGCUUAAAAUUGGAAAGAUGUGUACUUUAUAAUAAAAAGAAACAUAAAGAAAAUGAGAAGUUGUGCAAUAUUUUUUUGUCUUUUUGGCUUUUCUAGGGCUGCUCCCCGUGGCAUAUGGAGGUUCCCAGGCUAGGGGUAGAAUCAGAGCUGCAGCCGCCGGCCUAUGCCAGAGCCACAGCAACGCUGGAUCCGAACCGCAUCCACCACCUACACCACAGUUCAUGGCAACGCCGGAUCCUUAACCCACUGAGCAAGGCCAGGGAACCAACCCUCAACCUCAUGGUUCCUAGUCGGCUUCGUUAACCACUGAGCCACAGUGGGAACUCCGAGAGGUUGUGCUUUUAAAGCCUCUCUGCUCCCUGGCAAGCAGCCACCCACUGGAACUCCAGCUGCCCUAUAUACCACUGGGACAGGGCCAAUCCUUGCAAGGACUUCCCUUGGCCCAAACUGGCCAGGAUAGGGCUCUUUCAACAUUCUGAAAUUUGUUUUCGUGUACAAAAAUAGAGAAAAGCAUCUUUUCAAGAUUCUGAGCCUGAGGGAACAACAAGACUCCUGGGAGAGAGUCAGCAGGUAUUAACUCUUACCUACCAUGUCCUUGUAAACACAGCUCAUACUGCCCGAGAUUACAGCCUCGGGUCAAUCGGUAGAACCUAAAAAUGAAGAAAAAAGAGGGGCAGAAUAGGCCUUUUUUAACUCAAGGAUGUAAGCAAAUUAUUCCAACUGUUAUUUAUAAAUGAGUGUGUUCAUAUUGUAAAACCUGAUGCAUGACUAAGUUUUAUUUUUUUAUUAUUUUAUUUUUAUUUUUUGCUUUUUAGGGCCUCGCUAGCAGCAUACGGAGGUCCCCAGGCUAGGGGUCAAAUCAGAGCUAUGGCUGCCAGCCUACACCACAGCCACAGCCACGCGGGAUCUGAGCUGCGUCUGCGACCCACACCACAGCUCAUGGCAACACCGGAUCUUUAACCUACUGAGCAAGGCCAGGGAUCAAACCCGCAACCUCAUGGUUCCUGGUCGGAUUCGUUUCUGCUGCACCCCGACGGGAACUCCGAAAGAGCUCUUUUUAAUCGACUUGAAAGUACUUACAAAUUAAAUAUUUCUAAAGGUCACAGAAACUUGCCCCAAAUUUUUGAAGGAUCACAUGAUCUGUGAUGAAUCUUGAAUGAAUGAAAACAAAUUUGUUUGUUUAAUUAAUAUGGCCAUGUCUUUAGUCAUCAACAUUAAGUAUAGUAUUUUUAUUAUACCUAGGCUUACUGAAAAUCAAUAAAUUCAUGAUAUCUCUGUUACUAGAUCUGUCAAAAAGAAAAAUAACUUGGUAUGAUUUUUUUCUCCUUCGUGAAAAAAGGGAGACAAUGGGAUAAAAGAUUUUAGGUGAACUCUAUAGAAUAGCUAUGCUUUAUGAUAUUAUGAUAUGCCUACUUAAUUUCUCCAGGUUUGUAGAAACUGGAAAAUACAGAGUUUCACUAAGUUCAGUUAAAUUAUGGGAGUUCACUGAAUAUCUAGGUUUGGUUUUGGGGGGCUUUUUUUUUUUUUUUUUUUUGGCUGUGCUGUGGCAAUGCCAGAUCCUUAAUCCACUGCACCACAAGGGAAUUUCCUAGGUCAUUUUGUUUUGUUUUGUUUUGUUUUUUAGGGCCACACCUUCAGCAUAUGGAGGUUCCCAAGUUUGGAUCGAAUCAGAGUGGUAGCUAGUGGCCUACACCACAGCCACAGCAACGCCAGAUAUGAACCGCAUCUGCGACCUAUACCACAGCUCAUGGCAACGCCAGAUCCUUAACCCUCUGAGCAAGGCCAGGGAUCGAACCUGUGUCCUCAUGGAUACUAGCCAGAUUCCUUUCCGCUGAGCCAUGGCAGGAACUCCCCGAGGUCAUUUUUUAAUGAAAAUAAAAUCCUGAAACAUUCAUUGCUAAAAAGCCUAAGUUUAUCCACUUUAGACCUCUUAUUACACAAAAAAAUGUUUGAGACUAUCAAUAAAUAUAUUGAAAGAUUGUAAUAUGAGGUGAUAUGUUCUUAAAAUGAAAAAAAUACUGUAUUUAUAUAGUAUGAUAUAUGGUGAUGAUAAGAGAAGGUAUAAACAAUGGAGAUUUUUGUUGUUGUUAGAAACAUAGUUCUUUUUUGGCCACAUCCACAGAAUGCAAAGCUCCCGGGCCAAGGAUCAAACAUACACCACAGCAGUAACCAGGCCCACAGCAAUGACAAUAUUGGAUCCUUAACCUGCUGAGCCACCAGGGAACUCUAAAAUAGUUUGUUUUCUGAAACUGGUUAUUUCUAAAUGUGAAAAAAAGGGGGGGAUGUGUAUUUUAUAUAUAUGUGUGUGUAUAUAUAUAUAGACUAUAUAGAAAGUGGUGAAAGGUAUGUGUCAUCAGGACUGGACUAAGAUUAGACUGAAUUUAAUUGAGUGAAUAAAUUUUGAUAUUAAAUGUGAGGUGGUACAAAAGUAGAAUUUGAGUUUCUCUCUGUUGAGGGGACUAAAUUUUCUGGGAAUCUUUUUUUUUUUUUUUAAUGUAAACAAAAAAUAGAGAAAGAAGUUUAUUUUCCAAAAUUUCCUGUGACUCCUUGGGAAUAUUGAUCUGCUUUUGUUACGACAUUGUAAAGUUUCAUUAUCUUUUAAGCAAACUUUCUGUAUUUGCUUUUGAAAUCUAUUAUUGUCACUUUGGUUACAUGAAUAAGUAUCAUUUCAUCGGGACCAAUGCUCCUACUUAGCCAGCAUUUAGAACACCUUCAUAGCUUUAAUAAACUGC
rnacentral:lncRNA from 1 species